UCUGACUCUGGUCAUCAUGAUCUUCAUAUCAUCAGCAGCUGUGCUGAUAUACUGCAGGAAGACGGACUGUAAACCCAAAGGACCUCCUCAGGAAGCAGAGUACGUCAAUGUCACAGAGGCCGACCGAGUGUAUGAGGAGAUCAGAGAGGAGGACAGACAGAGCAGAUCUCCUCCUGUAGAAAUAUCUACAGUUUACGCCCACGCCAAAUACACCAAACCAAAUGCAGCUGAAGGCACAGACUGAAGACGACUCGAGCAGCUGCCCCGCUCAACAGCGCCCCCCGUGGUGAUGCAGAUAACACCGUCUACUCUGUGCUUCAGGCUGCAGCGAGCUCAGACGACCGCCACGCCGAACACGCUUCAGCUCCUCUGUACUCGACUGUUAAUGUUCAUCAGCAGUAGCUUCAAAGCUGCUGACGUGGGCUGAAUGAAGCCUGGCUGCUCAAACAAGACACCUGUGCUGACACCCACCUGUCAAUCAAAGUGUACUCCAUUUUAACUCUGCAUAGCUUUAAGCCUUAAUAUAAUGUGAACAGGUGAGUUGUAUAUAAAUUCACCCUCAGUACAGUUGUCAUGAACGGGGAAAUUAGCUACAGAGAACUGUUCUACAAAAAGUCAAUAUACGGGUUUAAAUGUGUUUUAUUGUUUUUUAAUGCAGAUCUUUUUGGUUCGUCUGACCUCUAUAGAUAAAAAACUUUGUUGUAGUUCACCCUCUUAUCAUGCUUUAUGUUACACAAAUUAUCUGUUUCCGUGAGAACAAAAUAAAACUUUUUGUCCAGAAAUAAAACU